GAUAAACGCUGGCGGCACACAUAAGACAUGCAAGUCGAACGGACAAUUUUGAAAAUGUUUACAUUUUUUAAAUUGUUAGUGGCGGACUGGUGAGUAACACGUAAGCAACCUGCCUAUUAGAGGGGAAUAACAAUGAGAAAUCAUUGCUAAUACCGCAUAUGCCAUAAUUAUCACAUGAUAGUAGUGGGAAAGAAGUAAUUCGCUAAUAGAUGGGCUUGCGUCUGAUUAGUUAGUUGGUGGGGUAAUGGCCUACCAAGACUACGAUCAGUAGCCGGACUGAGAGGUUCAACGGCCACAUUGGGACUGAGAUACGGCCCAGACUCCUACGGGAGGCAGCAGUCGGGAAUUUUGCGCAAUGGAGGAAACUCUGACGCAGUGAUGCCGCGUAUAGGAAGAAGGUUUUCGGAUUGUAAACUAUUGUCUGCAGGGAAGAUACAAGACUGUACCUGCAAAGAAAGCUCCGGCUAACUACGUG
rnacentral:rRNA from 1 species